rnacentral:rRNA from 1 species
AUGCAAGUCGAACGCGGUUACCCCGCAAGGGGUAACUGAGUGGCGAACGGGUGAGUAACACAUGGGUGACCUACCUUCGAGUGGGGGAUAACGUCCCGAAAGGGACGCUAAUACCGCAUAACAUCCCGUCCUUGAACGGAUGGAGAUCAAAGCCGGGGAUCGCAAGACCUGGCGUUUGAAGAGGGGCCCGCGUCCGAUUAGCUAGUUGGUGAGGUAACGGCUCACCAAGGCGACGAUCGGUAACCGGCCUGAGAGGGCGGACGGUCACACUGGGACUGAGACACGGCCCAGACUCCUACGGGAGGCAGCAGUGGGGAAUUGUUCACAAUGGGCGCAAGCCUGAUGACGCAACGCCGCGUGGAGGAUGAAGGUCUUCGGAUUGUAAACUCCUGUUGCCCGGGACGAAAAGCUUCGACCUAACACGUCGAAGUCUGACGGUACCGGGUGAGGAAGCCCCGGCUAACUCUGUGCCAGCAGCCGCGGUAAUACAGAGGGGGCAAGCGUUGUUCGGAAUUACUGGGCGUAAAGGGCGCGUAGGUGGCCUUCUAAGUCGAACGUGAAAUCCCUGGGCUCAACCCAGGAACUGCGUCCGAGACUGGGAGGCUUGAAUCCGGGAGAGGGAUGCGGAAUUCCAGGUGUAGCGGUGAAAUGCGUAGAUAUCUGGAGGAACACCGGUGGCGAAGGCGGCAUCCUGGACCGGUAUUGACACUGAGGCGCGAAAGCCAGGGGAGCAAACGGGAUUAGAUACCCCGGUAGUCCUGGCCCUAAACGAUGAAUGCUUGGUGUGGCGGGUAUCGAUCCCUGCCGUGCCGAAGCUAACGCAUUAAGCAUUCCGCCUGGGGAGUACGGUCGCAAGGCUGAAACUUAAAGGAAUUGACGG